UUGACCUCACAUCAGGUAGGACUACCCGCUGAAC
rnacentral:rRNA from 1 species